GGCUGUGACGAGUAGAUGAGUGAGGCUAUCAUGGGACGCAAGUGUUUGUUUUCGUGGUGCAAAAGUUCAAAUGGGUUUCAUAUGUUUCCCCGCGAUGCUGCCAGGGCUAGACUCUGGCUGCGGGCGGUUGGUUGGCCAUCAACCACGGAUACAUCCAGAUUAUAUGUGUGCAGCAAACAUUUUUCGAAAGAGAGCUUCGAGAAUUGGAGAAUGGUGGACUUUGGCCUUGUUGACUACCAAUGCAAGUUACGUCUUGCGAUUGAUGCGGUGCCAAGUCCCGAGGACUUUUCUAUCCUUUCAGAGCCUAAACUGUGUUGCUAGAUGGCGUGUCAGACCAAACAGCCCGCCAAAAAAGAUGCUGCAUGUCAAAACCAUCCCGACAUGAAGCAUAUGUUAACGCAACAUCGCUGGAAACCUGAACAAAGGAGCAAGAGCACUCAGGUGAAGCAACAGAAAAGGCAUGUUGGUUGCUACACUUCCACACCAUUCAUACCACUAGAAAAAGGUCCUCUUGCAACCUCUACCCCCUUGAAAAAGUCCAGAAGAGAGGCUUAGGAUUCUGAUUGUAGUUUACAACCAGGAAUGACUGACAGCAGCAUCUAUACUUCAUUACAUUUUGUAUAAUGUCUAAACUAGUGAUUUAUCGAUAUAUUUUAUGUUUUUACUUUUUUAUUUUAUAAUUAGGUACUGCUGCAUGUGAAAAGCUCACUCAGGUCUUCUUGGCACCCAAGUUGCUGAAAGACCUAGAGAACCUAAGUUCUGACUUCCAGACGUCAGGACUGGAGUCAUAUCACAGUCUGAUCCUCAAGUUUGCACCAAAGAGCGUGGCAUUCUCUUUUGUGGGGAUGUUGUGCCGGUAUGUUCUGGUUUUAAUUCAAAUUAAGUUGAAUUGCAUUCAAAUUUUUCUUACAGUUUCCUUUUUUUCUAAACACAUCUCUGCAUCUUAACUGUUCAUGCAGUACCUGAUCUAAGGCCGGUGACACACUGGAUGCGUGGCGUGUCCGUUUUUAUUUCGGCUCCCAUGUUAACAGGUUAGAGCUUGCACACUGCCUGCGUGAUUCGGGUCUCAGGAAAACGUCUCGGAAAACGUGUGCAUGCUAGAAAUAGAACCGAUGCCUAUUUUUCAUGCAACAUACAAGCGUCUUGGAAGCGUUUCAAUGCAAACCUGAAUAGGAAAAUAUGUUUAUAUGUCAUUUUGACACGAAUACAUAUUAAUACAUGUAAUUUUGAUGUUUGAAAGUCUGUAGGUUUUGACAAACAAAAAUAUAAAUGUAGCCUAAUGUAAACACAAUAUUAUCUGUUUUCAAAUACUGCACCUGUCAAUACAGAACAAAAUAUUCUAUAGCCUAUUUUGACGUCAACACUGCUGACGAUAUCUUUGCUGCUAUAUAUUUAUGUUUAAUAUGAAGUAUAGACCUUCCACAACUCUCUCCCCAUAUUUCAAAUAAAUCACCAUUGAGGCUCAUCAUAUGUCACCUAGCAGCAGCAGCGGUCAGACACGCUUCUGGUGUGCAAAGACAUGGAAAACACCUCGCAAACGCCACGCAGCUGACACACAACAGAAACGCCACGCUCACGCCACGCAGUCAGUGUGUCACCAGCCUAAUGUUUCAGAUCCUACUUUUUAGGACUCAACUUGCAGCCAUGCACUACAAUAAAAAUAGCGGAAGACCACAAGCAACAACAGCUGCAGGGGAGCUCCGAUGGCACAUGCAGAAUCCACGCUACAGAAGAGGAGAGUACACAGUACGACUUCUGAAAAGAAAUCCCACAUUUGAAUAUGUUGACAGAUUGCAGGAUCUGCUUUUUGAAAGUGUGUUGGAGCAGCCACAACUGUUUCAGGAAUCUCUAAAAGGACUGCAAGUUCAUGACCACCUCUGCACACAGUUUCAAAGACCUGAAAAGAGUGAAGCUGUUGCACAACACACGUCACGAUUUAGACCACCUUCUGUCUGUCUGUGAUCUAAAGUAAAUAAACAAAUUAAAUGAAAAAAUUGAAAUGUAAAGUUCUUUAUUUUAGUCGAGGGGAGGGGGUUGAAAACCUGAAUAGGUUCCAGUGUUGUCAGGGAACUGCUCUCUGAUGCAGGUAACAGCACACAAGGGAAUCACCACCCUAAUGUGUCUGCCAAGGUACCCCCAGCACCACUGGACAAAAAUCCUAUAGGCCAGGUGUCUGUAGCAACUGAGAUUGAAACUUUAGUUUAACUUGUUAUGGAUCAUUACAUAAAAUACUAAAAUGCUACCUGUACUGUAAAUGUAUGUUAAUCUGAAAUGAUAUGUUUAGUUAACACCAGGUAAGAAUGUUACUAACCUAUUGAGGACUGUGUUCUCCAUGUCACCGUAGAGCUGGCGAUAUGUGCCAUAAACAGCUUGCAAAACAAAUGUGUUUAGGGCGACAGGUUCAAAACCUGGAUGAGCAGUUAUGCAUGCUGCCCCACCAACCUGCUCACAUCUGUGCAUCACCUACAUGUUAGGAAUUAAAAGUAAUAAUAAAAUAAAAGGUGUAUUAUAUGUAUGUAUAUAUAUGUAUAUAUAUAUAUUACUGCUGUCAAUCGAUUAAAAAAAAUUAACUAAUUAAUCGCACAAUUUUUUAAAAUUAAUCGCAAUUAAAAGACUGAAACUUUUUGGAUAUGUAAAUGUAAAAUGUAAAUAAUUAAUGUAAACUCAAGACAAAGAAACUAUUUAAAUUCAAAAUAUGAUUGUUUAUUGGAAUUUUUGUUUAACUUGUAACACAGAUUUUCUCAUGUAAACAACAUACCUGCA